rnacentral:sRNA from 1 species
ACUAAUCAAGCAUGACCUGCCUGGAGAUAACCCAUGUUAGACUGGGUCUCCAGGUCUCUGGUUGUCCAGUGGACCUUCUCUUGGACUCGGGCCCUGUCCUACCUGGAAGCCCCGUCAUCUGCGGCUUGGGUGGGCAGUGGAUGGCCCUGGGCAGAAGCUCCACCUGCCCUCACUGCUGCUCUUGCCAUUUCCCAAUAGGACCCUAUCCCACCUGAGCUGACCAGGCUCCUGCAGCAAUCCCAGGACCCCCUGCUUAUGGGGCUGUUUCCUACUAACCCCAAAGAGAAGACCCAGGAGGAACCCCCUGGCCAGAGCAGGGCCCCUGUGUUGACCGUGGUGUCUAAGUUCAAGGCCUCACUGGAGCAGCUUCUGCAGGUCCUACACAGCACCACGCCCCACUACAUUCGCUGCAUCAAGCCCAACAGCCAGGGCCAGGCGCAGACCUUCCUCCAAGAGGAGGUAAUUAACACCGGGCCAAAGCUGCUUCGCACCAAACCCCAUCUGGCCAAGGCCCUGGAGAGAUGAAGGGCAGGACAUCUGUUCCAAAUGGAGUGCACAGAAGUGGUCUCUCCGGCCAGGCCUGACAUGAGAGAGGACCCAUCUCCCUUGCUGUGGCAGGGCAGGCAUGUAUGGUUGUGUGGUCUGUGCAUAGUAGCCUAGCCAGGGAGGCAAGUUCCAGUGCAUCUUGUUUUUUUGAGCCAUGUACCCUGAUGAGAGACUGAAACUGCCCAGAGGAAUGGGUGUCUCGUGAUUAGCUGAAAGUCUGCAUCACCACACAGUCCCCGCACAGUGCAGCCAUUUCUCACUGGAGGUAUCUUUUUUUUUUUUUUUUUUUUUGAGACUGAGCC